AUGAUGAAGGACAAUGUGAAUAAUGAUAGACUGUUCUUUGGCAGUGGGACAAAACUUACAGUCAUAGGGAAGGAUGAUGAAAUCCUACCUCCAGCUGUGGCCAUCUUUUCCCCAUCAAAGCAGGAGAUCCAGCAGAAGAGCAAGGCCACGCUGGUGUGCCUGGCCUCUGGCUUCUACCCUGACCACCUGACUCUGGCCUGGAGGGUGAAUGGUGUGAGAAGGACCGAGGGGGUGGGGACAGACGAGUUCUCCACACAGAAUGGGAGCACCUACUCGCUGACCAGCCGACUGAGGAUGCCAGCCUGGGAAUGGUUCAACCCUUUGAAUCGCUUUGAGUGUGUUGCCAAUUUUUUUCACAAUGGAACAACGCAGUCAAUAAACAAAUUUAUCCAUGGUGAUGCUGGUUGUGCACUCACAGAAGGUACGUGUGGCUUCUCACAUAAGGAGAAUUUUGCCUCUUCUCUCAGGCAAUUAUCUGUGUGUAUUUUAAUUCCAGCUUUACUGACACUAAGCACAACGUGUGGGAGAUAUCUGCUGUAUGGAUAGCUUCUUCUUUCUCAUCUAAGUGAUUUGUAUGUGAUAUUAAAAAUGAAAAAACAAAAAAGGAA